rnacentral:tRNA from 1 species
GUCCUCGUGUUCCAAUGGAUACGAUAGCUGGCUACGAACUAGCUGAUGUAGGUUCGAUUCCUACCGGGGAUACCA